rnacentral:rRNA from 1 species
UACGUAGGGGGCAAGCGUUGUCCGGAAUCAUUGGGCGUAAAGAGCGUGUAGGCGGCCCGGUAAGUCCGCCGUGAAAGCCCAGGGCUCAACCCUGGGAUGCCGGUGGAAACUACCGGGCUAGAGUCCGGAAGAGGCGAGUGGAAUUCCUGGUGUAGCGGUGAAAUGCGUAGAUAUCGAGAGGAACACCAGCGGCGAAGGCGGCGAUCUGGGUUGAUACUGACGCUGAGGUGCGAAAGCGUGGGGAGCAAACAGG